rnacentral:lncRNA from 1 species
CUCAGGGACCCGAUGAGCUCGUCCACGCUAAGGUAUGCCUCCAGCCUUCCUCCUCGAUCCUCCACGCUUCACCGCUGGAUUUCCAGCCUUCGACUAUCGUUAACGCUGGCAGAAGCGCGCACCACCUGGCAGGAGUUGAAGGCUCAGUCCCUGGCUCCAUGGGAUCUUUCUCCCGUCUCCGCUAGCAGCACGCCCACUGCCCGACGUCGACGGUGACACGAUAGGGGGUCACAUCUCCGGCCAGGGCACCAAAGGAUUUCUUCCCUCAGCCUGAGCUCACACUCACUCAGCCUGGGCCCCCUCUCACUUCCUCUCUUCCCCAGCCUGGGUCCCCUUUCACUCCCUCUCAUGCCCAGCCUGAGUAUGCUGUUCUGCAGAAUCACCACCGACAGUGGCGGUAGCGGAGAGGAGUCACCGCAUCUCCGGUCCAGCAACCUGAGCCUGCUGCCUCCUCGCCGCCGGAGCCCCAAGCGGCCUCCUCGCUGCCUGACCCACCUGCGCCGCAGCAGCUCGAGCUCCCAGCACAGCAGCAGACAGAACCGCUGGACCAGCAGCCUUGACGAUGACGGGGUCGCCACCGUCCGAAGAGGCAAGUUCCAGUACUGCUUCCUGAGCCUCAGUGCGCCGACGUCCAAGUCCCUGCUGAGGUUCCAGUCCAGCAACCCGAACCUCAGUGCGCCGAUGUGGCCAUCCCCGCUGAGGUUCCACACCAGCAGCCCGAGCUUCAGUGUGCCGACGACAGCGUCCCCACUGAGGUUCUGCCCAGGAUCCCAGAGCCUCAGUGCGCUGACAACAGCGUCCCCGCUGAAGUCCCCAUCCCGUGUCUGGCCAGCCCUUCCCCUGAUUCUCCAGAAGGCUUCUUCCCUGAGUUCCCGACUAGCCCUUCACCUCAGUACCUGGCCAGCUCCUCACCUCAGUCUUCAGCAGGCUUCACCCUUGGGUUUCCAACUGCCCACUCACCAAAGUCUCACCUCGCUGCCCAGCCUCCAGCGCCGCAGCAGCCCGAGCCAGAGCCUCCAGCGCCGCAGCAGCCCGGGUCUCAGCCUCCUGAGCUGCCGCAGCCCGAGCCAGAGUCCCCUGAGCCACCGCUGCCCUGUGUGGGUAUUGAUGCUGUUUCAACUGGUUAUUAUAGGUUUGCCAUUUCAUUCGGAUUCCCUUUGUAUGUUUUCCUGUACCUUGG